rnacentral:rRNA from 1 species
UACGAAGGGUGCAAACGUUGCUCGGAAUUAUUGGGCGUAAAGCGCACGUAGGCGGUAUUGAAAGUUGGAUGUGAAAUCCCUCGGCUUAACCGAGGAAGUGCAUCCAAAAACUCCAGUACUUGAGUACUUAAGAGGAUCGCGGAAUUCCCGGUGUAGAGGUGAAAAUUCGUAGAUAUCGGGAGGAACACCAGUGGCGAAGG